rnacentral:tRNA from 2 species
GUAGCUCAGCUGGUUAGAGCACAUCACUCAUAAUGAUGGGGUCACAGGUUCGAAUCCC